rnacentral:lncRNA from 1 species
AUAGCUGGUUCUAGGACCAUAUUUGCAAAUCACUGCACCAAUUUCUGUGUUGUAGUUGGUUUUUGAGUCUCCAGCUUCACCUCUCAACUCCUGCCACUUUAUGGAACACCCUCAGUGCCCAGGGGUCUCUUGUCCUUGGUCCUGGUUCUCCCUGGGCUGCCUUGAGACUUUGCAGUGUGCCAAUAAGAGGAUGUAUAUGAGACCCUUACUCAUGUAUUUUUCUCUUGUGAAGCUGAUCACACUGGACUUUUAAGUCCUUUCUUCCUGACAUUCAGUCUUUGACUCUGAAUUAGCUGAGGCAUGAGAAGUUCACCACAGGAAGGUCCUGCCCUUUGUUUGCUCCUAAAGGUUCCUUUAAAGUUCAACUUGACCAACACACCAUUGCAAGCACUCCAGAGGAGAAGACAGCCUUGCUGUGUCAAAUCCACUUUAGUUUGUAAAUUUCUUGUCAGUCACUUUUAUGCCCCCACUGAAUAGGACAGUGUGAAGCAUGGAUUAAGUAUGCAAUAAAUGGUUGUUGAAUAAAUCAGAAAAUUAAAUGCAUUCUGCACAGAAAAAAAAAAAAAAAAAAAAA